UGCGGAGGGUGCAAGCGUUGUCCGGAUUUAUUGGGUUUAAAGGGUGCGUAGGCGGCGUAGUAAGUCCGUGGUGAAAGCCAACAGCUCAACUGUUGAACUGCCAUGGAUACUGCUAGGCUUGAGUACAGACGAGGUAGGCGGAAUGGAUAGUGUAGCGGUGAAAUGCAUAGAUACUAUCCAGAACACCGAUUGCGAAGGCAGCUUACUAGACUGUAACUGACGCUGAGGCACGAAAGCGUGGGGAGCGAACAGG
rnacentral:rRNA from 1 species